rnacentral:rRNA from 1 species
GACGUAGGGCGCAAGCGUUAUCCGGAUUCACUGGGUUUAAAGGGUGCGUAGGUGGGUAAGUAAGUCAGUGGUGAAAUCUCCGGGCUUAACCGGAAACUGCCAUUGAUACUAUUUGUCUUGAAUACUGUGGAGGUCAGCGGAAUAUGUCAUGUAGCGGUGAAAUGCUUAGAUAUGACAUAGAACACCAAUUGCGAAGGCAGCUGGCUACACAAAUAUUGACACUGAGGCACGAAAGCGUGGGGAUCAAACAGG